GUCUAUGGCCAUGCCACCCUGAACAAGUCCUAUUCCAUCUGAUCUUGGAAGCUAAGCAGGGUCGGGCCUGGUUAGUACUUGGAUGGGAGACCAUUUAGGAAGAUGAGGUGAUGUAGGCG
rnacentral:rRNA from 1 species